AGCCACAGGUGCUGCUGCUUUGAAAUGGUUCCCAUCUCAAUUGUACUCAUCACUUCUGGCUGAGAUGAUGAAGUUGGAAAACCAUGCUUGUUUCCUGUGGUCCCAUGAUAGAAACUAGAGAAGUUGUAUGGGGACUGUGAGAGAAGUGCUAUCAUGAAGAAGAACAGCCACAGUGAAAAUCAGAUGGAGACAACCUAUGCAGUGUCAAUUGUAUUAGGGUUCCAAAGAAACCAUCCCAGAACUACUCUGUCAUAUAUUUCAACUUAGGUUGCCAUCACUGUUAUGCUGGUAAUUUCUUCACUUUUCUUCUGUGUUCAUUCAUUCAACAAAUAUUCUAGAAGGCCAUGUGCCGGGCAGUAUUAUGGAUGCCAAAGACACACAGUGAAAAAGAAAUGGUGCCCUGCCUAUGAAGGUGAACCUAUGGGGAGAGAAUUAUGUCAUGAAACAAAUGUGGUAGAAUAUUAAACUGGAAAUUUUCCCUCAGAAAAGAAGAUACAAUAGAC
rnacentral:lncRNA from 1 species